CCUACGGGAGGCUGCAGUGGGGAAUAUUGGACAAUGGGGGCAACCCUGAUCCAGCCAUGCCGCGUGUGUGAAGAAGGCCCUCGGGUUGUAAAGCACUUUCAGUGAGGAAGAACGCCUGGUGGUUAAUACCCAUCAGGAAAGACAUCACUCACAGAAGAAGCACCGGCUAACUCCGUGCCAGCAGCCGCGGUAAUACGGAGGGUGCGAGCGUUAAUCGGAAUUACUGGGCGUAAAGCGCGCGUAGGUGGCUUGAUAAGCCGGUUGUGAAAGCCCCGGGCUCAACCUGGGAACGGCAUCCGGAACUGUCAAGCUAGAGUGCAGGAGAGGAAGGUAGAAUUCCCGGUGUAGCGGUGAAAUGCGUAGAGAUCGGGAGGAAUACCAGUGGCGAAGGCGGCCUUCUGUACUGACACUGACACUGAGGUGCGAAAGCGUGGGUAGCAAACAGGAUUAGAUACCCCGGUAGUC
rnacentral:rRNA from 1 species